rnacentral:rRNA from 1 species
CGGGUGAGUAAUGUCUGGGAAACUGCCUGAUGGAGGGGGAUAACUACUGGAAACGGUAGCUAAUACCGCAUAACGUCGCAAGACCAAAGAGGGGGACCUUCGGGCCUCUUGCCAUCGGAUGUGCUCAGAUGGGAUUAGCUAGUAGGUGGGGUAACGGCUCACCUAGGCGACGAUCCCUAGCUGGUCUGAGAGGAUGACCAGCCACACUGGAACUGAGACACGGUCCAG